AACGGGGGGGACAAGCACUAUUCGUCAGGACUGGGGUGUAAAGGAUCUGUAGACGGCCACCUAAUAGUUUGGAUUAAAUGCUUUCGGCUCAACCGAUCGAGUAUCCUUAAUUGACAGGUGUUGCUUGGAGUUUUAAGAGGUUGGAGGUACUGUAACUUGAAAGGUAAAAUUUGUCGAUAGUUAACGGGGACCAGCAUUUUGGCGAAGGCAUCUGACCACGGCAAACUGACGUUGAGGGGAUGAAAGCGUAGGGAGCGAAGAGG
rnacentral:misc_RNA from 1 species